UCCACAGUAGCUCAAUGGCAGAGCAACCGGCUGUUAACCGGUAGGUUGCUGGUUCGAGUCCAGCCUGUGGAG
rnacentral:tRNA from 2 species